rnacentral:rRNA from 1 species
AUUGAACGCUGGCGGCAUGCCUUACACAUGCAAGUUGAACGGUAACGCGGGGCAACCUGGCGACGAGUGGCGAACGGGUGAGUAAUGCAUCGGAACGUGCCCAGUAGUGGGGGAUAGCCCGGCGAAAGCCGGAUUAAUACCGCAUACGACCUACGGGUGAAAGCGGGGGACCGCAAGGCCUCGCGCUAUUGGAGCGGCCGAUGUCAGAUUAGGUUGUUGGUGGGGUAAAGGCCUACCAAGCCGACGAUCUGUAGCUGGUCUGAGAGGACGACCAGCCACACUGGGACUGAGACACGGCCCAGACUCCUACGGGAGGCAGCAGUGGGGAAUUUUGGACAAUGGGGGCAACCCUGAUCCAGCCAUGCCGCGUGCGGGAAGAAGGCCUUCGGGUUGUAAACCGCUUUUGUCAGGGAAGAAACGCUCUGGGCUAAUACCCCGGGGUAAUGACGGUACCUGAAGAAUAAGCACCGGCUAACUACGUGCCAGCAGCCGCGGUAAUACGUAGGGUGCAAGCGUUAAUCGGAAUUACUGGGCGUAAAGCGUGCGCAGGCGGUCGUGCAAGACAGAUGUGAAAUCCCCGGGCUUAACCUGGGAACUGCAUUUGUGACUGCA